rnacentral:rRNA from 1 species
UACGAAGGGGGCGAGCGUUGUUCGGAAUUACUGGGCGUAAAGGGCGCGCAGGCGGCCUUAGAAGUCAGAUGUGAAAGCCCCGGGCUCAACCUGGGAAUGGCAUUUGAUACUCUGAGGCUGGAGUACGGGAGAGGAGAGUGGAAUUCCCAGUGUAGAGGUGAAAUUCGUAGAUAUUGGGAAGAACACCGGUGGCGAAGGCGGUUCUCUGGGCCUUACCUGACGCUGAGGAGCGAAAGCGUGGGGAGCGAACAGG